rnacentral:SRP_RNA from 1 species
GCUGGGCACAAUGGUAUGUGUCUAAAAUCCCAGCUACUCAGGAGCCUGAAGUGGGAGGAUUGCUUGAGCCUAGGAGUUUCAGGCUGUGGUGUGCUAUGCCAGUCAAGAGUCUGCACUAGAUUCAGCAUCUAUAUGGUGACUUCCUGGGAGGGGCGAACGUGCCCAGGUAGGAAAUUGAUUAGUUCAAAACUCCCAUGCUGAUCAGUAGUGGAAUAUCUACACUCUUGUGAAUAGCCACUGCACUCUAGCCUGAACAACAUAGCAAGGCCCUGUCUCU